rnacentral:rRNA from 1 species
ACCUUCGGGCCUCUCGCGUCAGGAUAUGCCCAGGUGGGAUUAGCUAGUUGGUGAGGUAAGGGCUCACCAAGGCAACGAUCCCUAGCUGGUCUGAGAGGAUGAUCAGCCACACUGGAACUGAGACACGGUCCAGACUCCUACGGGAGGCAGCAGUGGGGAAUAUUGCACAAUGGGCGCAAGCCUGAUGCAGCCAUGCCGCGUGUAUGAAGAAGGCCUUCGGGUUGUAAAGUACUUUCAGCAGUGAGGAAGGUUCAUACGUUAAUAGCGUAUGGAUUUGACGUUAGCUGCAGAAGAAGCACCGGCUAACUCCGUG